AUGGAGGACUGUGCAGCCACCCCUGUUCGCCGCCCUGCCGACCCCUCCUCCCCAUCCCUAACCCCGUCUCCCUUGUCUCUGCGCCAGUGGCGCCCAGCGGCGCAGCGCAAUCUGCGCAACCAGUGGUCGCGCCUGCUUGCCGCCAAGACCCGGUGGCUGGACGCCGCCGCCAGCGGCCGCUCCCAUGCCGCCACACUCGUCAACGCCUACCUCUCCCGCAGUUACAUGCCAGGGAUGGAUUUGGGGGUGCUCAAGGACAUGCCCAGGAUCCGCGACAGGGCGAGCGCCAAAUUGGCCCACAAGGAGGUGCAAUGCCGCGAGAUGCUUCUAUCAGCCUACAAGGAGAUGGUAAUGCUUCAUACAAAGCCCAUGCUUGUUCAUGUCAUUUUAGUUGGGACCCUGUCUGUGCCAUGUCCGACUUGGUUAAAGCUUCUCAUGCCAUGCGGAUCAUCCAAAGUAUCUGCUGGUAGCCCACUAGUCCGAUUUACUGAUCGCCAGGAUGAUUUGAAUGAUUUAGGGGAUGGUGGAGGAGCUCCAGUAUACAGAUGGGUCUCCAUGUUAGAAUUUGAAAACCUCGCCAAAGAGCUUGUUGAGAUGUUUGUUUCAGAGCUACAAUUGAAGAGACUGAUUGUCUUGGACUUCCUGUCAAUUAACUUAAAAGAAGGUGCAGGUCCUUCAUUAGAAUGGUCAGAUGAGCUAUAUGACGGGGAAUUGUACGAAUUUCAGAGUAUUGCCUUGGGGUCUGGAGACAGCUUCCCACUACCUGAGAAUUGGAAGGCUGAUGUCUUUCAGGGACGGCGACCUGGACAUGCUCCAUCCCAUGAGGUUUUACAGGUUUAUUUAACCUGUUGGCUUGCUAAUGUGAACAUCAAGACGAGUAGAGUUGACGAAAUAUUUGAGCUUGUUGGGGAAGAGAUGCAGAUCAAACUGCGUUGA
rnacentral:rRNA from 1 species